GCCAGCCCACGAUAUUCAGUACUGGGCUGCUGUCUCUGUGAGGACAUGGUGACCCAGGGACUUUUGACACCUGAGGUUUUGAGGGGC
rnacentral:snoRNA from 1 species